ACUCUUUCUUCAUCUAUUCAAGGAAUUCUAGGUGAGUGUGCAUCCAAGCUUUAUUCUAAUCUCUGGCAUUGCUUUUAGAAAUGUUUGAGUCAUUAUCUGCUUUUGUGUUCGUCUCAAGUCUUCCUAUCAUCAUAAUAGAUCAUUAUUAUUAUAGGGUUCUUUUUUGGUUUGUUUGUCCAUUUUCCUAACUUAUUUCUUGACUUUGAAUUUAAUAUUAGGGCUGGUCUCUGGGACAAUGAGAUGGUACAAUGAAUAAAAUGCCAGGCAUGGAGUUAGAAGGUGUGAUAGAGGUUUCAAACCCAAGUCUGGGAAAUUGCAGGAGCCUCAGCCACAACGGGGAAAGGGCUCCAGGAAAGAUUCUGGAAUCUUAAGAGAGCAGGAGAUUCUGUGGGAGAGGCAAUCCUGAGACAGCCUGAGGAAAAGGUCUGGUCAAGACUUGCUCCUGAGAAAAAGAAUUAUAUCUUUCUCCUGGUGACUGGACACCCUUCGCACCCCCCAAUCCCCAACUGAAGUGAUCAGCUGGAGAAGUCACAAACAGUUGACAAGAUUACCUCACAGUUCCUGGUACCCUGGGUCUGAACUGUGCCCAGUGGGACCAAGAUCAGGGCCAUCCAAGCCUUAAACUCUCAGGGGGCCAAGACCACCAAGGCCUGGGUUCCCCAUCUUGAGGAGGGAAGAAGUAACAGCUAGAAUAGGGACACCUUUUUUCCAUCUUUCCUCACGAACCCCUCCUGUAGCCAUUUCCCUGUGUUAUUCCCAAUUAAUCAGUUAGAAUAAAAUGUGUUGUCUUCCCUAACUGAUUCUAGUGUGAGUGGGGAAACAGUUCUAGCUUGAGGGGGAGUUCCAGCUUGAGGGGGAGAGUAACUUCUCUCUCUCUCUCUCUCUCUCUCUCUCUCUCUCUCUCUCUCUCACUCUCUCUCUCUCUCUCUUUCUGAGGAGGAGGGAAAUUCUAUAUAUCAUAGUAUUAGAGGGAAGUCAAGAGACAGUUUGGGUGAGUAGCUAUAGCUGAGGGGAGCCUUAAGGGGGGAACUACAGAUUCACUACCCCUCUUCUUUCCCUUGGCCAAGUUAAAUAGUGCUGUCUCUCCUGGACUCUGCCUUGAGAGGGGAGGUCUCCAUUCUUUCUUUUUUUACCACCAGACUAAUUCUCUCUAUUACAAAGGACCUGAAGUUAAAUUUAGCCUCAGAUACUCACUAGCAAAUCAUUUAACCCUGUUUGCCUCAGUUUCCUUAUCUGUAAAAUGAACUGGAGAAAGAAGUGGCAAAGCAGUCCAAUAUCUUUGCCAAGAAAAUGCCCAAAAAGGGUCACAAAAUGUCAGACAUGACUAAAAAUGACUAAACCACAACUUUUCUCCACAGCAUUUCUGGAGGAACAGUCUGUGUUGGUGCUUUCUUCAAGAUAUUUAGGAUAAGGUUGGGAAUCUACAGAGUUCCAGUAUUCCCCAAAUGGUCUUAUUUAGGACAAAGUCUGAUUAAUGCCCUCCUGAUCUGAAGCUGGAUGGCAACUGGGAUUGGAAAGUGACCUGGUCCUUCUCUGGUCAUCUAAGUGCAAUGUGCUAAAUUCAAUCUGAUGCAUUUUCAAGAUUUGUCUGAUGGAGUUGUGGAGGGGGAUUCACCCUAGUAUUUUCCAUUGCUCAAUCAUCUUGGUUUUCCUCACCACUCUGCAAAUAGAGGAAGCUACUAAAUGUGAAGCUCAGCUCCCACUCUAACUCCAAAACUCAAGGAGACCCUGUUAAGACGCACCAGUACUGCAUAGAGGAAAAGAAGCUGCUGAUUCAUAAUGAAUGGAUCUCUGGGUAGUGGAGAAGAAAUAUAUUUGGAAAUGAAGAUAAGGAAACUGAUAUAGACAGAGGCUCGCACUGAUGCCUGUCCUUGCUGGAGCCUGCCAGGGGUCUUUUGAAGUCGUCUGUAUCAUUGGGUCUGAGGAGGGAAAGCGAGCCACAUCUAAUCUGCCGCCAUGCUUACCCAGAAGUCCUCCUGACUCUCCAGAUCAUACUCCACAAGACAACCACCAAUCCUAGGAGAGUUGGAAAACAAGAGAUAUGCAUACCAAACAUCUUUUCACCUAGACAUCAUUCUGCCCAAGAUAUCUGCAUGCCAAAUAUAAUCAAGUCUUCUACUCAUGGACAAUGGGUGGGAUUUGUAUUUCUCUAGCAAUGAUUGGGUGCUAGCUUCUUGAGGAGGGUGUAAAGAGAAGAUUAUAGCACAAGAUGGCUUUUGCAAGAAGAAGCAAGAGACGGAAAUUUGAAGGAACUGUCAAUCAACCAAAAGGAAGGAAGAUUCCAAUAGAAUCUGAUGAGAAGGCAGUUGGGAAAACCAGAAACUAAACUGGGAGACUUUCUUCCUGCUGACUGGGAGGAAAGAGGCUGAGAAAUAGGCUUGCUCUAGAUUCCUGGCUACUCAUUGACUUAAUAUAGAAAAGACUGGAGCUUAGCUCUGAAGAACCAUUUCAAUUCAUCAGCAAUAUCCCCUUAUAGACAAAAUAAUUUUAUUUCCCUGUAUUGAACCCUGUAGGAGAUUAGGGAGACCUUAAUUUCCCUCUUCCCUCUCCCACCUCCCUUAAUUCCCUUGAACUCAGUAUAAAACCCCUUUCAGAAAAGAGUUAUAUUGUGAGAUUAAUCCUUAAGAAACUUCUGAUAGCUUACCCUUUGAGAAAAGCCAUUAAGAUCAACUGGGAGAGACACAGGAAGUGGAGUGGGGGAAAGGAGUGCAAACCUUAGCCUUUUCUCUAACUUAUUUCCUGGUGUAAUUGCUCCAACACCUACCUGCUACCAUAAAUAGAAGCAUCUAUUGCAAGGGAUGAGCACAUUUCCAAGAUCCCCCCAACCCCACUCAUUAUCUGGACAUACUGGUUGAUAAACUUUUUAUUUACUUCAUAAGUCAUAUCCUAUUGCAAAUGCUAGCUUAUGAGAAGAGGAGGAAGUAGCUAUAUUUACUGCACCAACAAGACUUUUCCCUUAUUAAAUAUAAUUACAGGAUUUCUAUUAAUCUUGCUAUAAUCCUGUUAAUCAUUAAUUAAGCACUGUCCCAGAUUAAUAAUUUAUUGUGGCUAAAUAGUGAUUAAUUAUGAUGAAUGGGGUCUUAUUUAAAAAGAAUCACAGGGUCAAGGAUUCUCAUUCUCUUCAAAAAAAAAGAGAACAGCAGAGAAUGAUGUGUCUGUAACAUACCUUAUUUUCUUCAAAUCUUUUGCAUUUCAAUAAUUUUUAAAAAAUGUUCUUCAUAUAAAAGUAUAUUGCUUUCCUUUCCUUCACUUCCUAUUAUCUCCUGAGUUCUCUUUCCCUCUCCUUUCUUUCUACUCCAAGUAAAUUUCUAUUCUUCCCCAUUGAUUAGUUUAUUUCUCUUCUUCAAUCCUCUUGACUGGGAUAUAAUUUGUCUUUCUCAUAAGAAGUGUUUUGCCCCAAUAUUUUGAAGAACCUAGAUAGAGGCUAGUAUUUUCCCUUUCUUUUAGAAUCCCCCUUUCUCUAAAAACCAGGUCCUUGACCUCUCUACUUCAAAUUUCAAAAGUCUUGAGGGGAGUAUUUAGCUCAUAUUUUUUAAAGAUAUUAAAGACCCAGUAACUCUAUCUUUUAAAUAUAUCAAAGAAGAUUAACUCAUUUAUCUUUUAAGGUCCUUCCAACACUUUUAUUUUACAGAAGCAACUUAAGUAUGAUAGAUAUUAAAUAAGGAGAAGGAGGAGAAAGAGAAGAAGAAUGCAUUUAAUGUAAUCCAGUAGUGAUCAUUACAUCAUAACUAUAUUAAUCAUUAUUUUAUAUUAUAUAUUUAUCAUGUAUUAUGAUAUAAUAGCUAUCAUAUGAAAGUGUUCUAAAUCUCUUAUAAUCAGGGAGAUACAAAUGAAAACAACUCUGAGGUAUCACCUCACACCCAACAGAUUGGCUAACAUGACAGCAAAGGAAAGUGGUGAAUGUUGGAGGGGAUGUGGCAAAGUAGGGACAUUAAUUCAUUGCUGGUGGAGUUGUGAAUUGAUCCAACCAUUCUGGAGGGCAAUUUGGAACUAUGCCCAAAGGGCAAUAAAAGACUGUCUGCCCUUUGAAUCAGCCAUAGCACUUUUGGGUUUGUGCCCCAAAGAGAUAAUAAAGAAAAAGACUUGUACAAGAAUAUUCAUAACUGCUCUCUUUGUGGUGACCAAAAAUUGGAAAAUGAGGGGAUGCCCUUCAAUUGGGGAAUGGCUGUACAAAUUGUGUACAUGAUGGUGAUGGAAUACUAUUGUGCUAAAAGGAAUAAUAAACUGGAGGAAUUCCAUGUGAACUGGAACGACCUCCAGGAAUUGAUGCAGAGGGAAAGGAGCAGAACCUGGAGAACAUUGUACACAGAGACUGAUCCACUGUGGUACAAUCAAACGUAAUGGAUUUCUCCAUUAGUGUCAAUGCAAUGUCCCUGAACAAUCUGCAGGGAUCUAGGAGCAAAAACACUACCCACAAGCAGAGAACAAACAGUGGGAGUAAAAACAACGAGGAAGGGCAACUGUUUGACUACAAAGGCUGAGGGGAUAUGACUGAGGAGAGACUUUAAAUGAACACCCUAAUGCGAAUACCAAUAACAUGGAAAUGGGUUCAGAUCAAGGACACAUGUGAUACCCAGAGGAAUCAUGCGUCAGCUAUGGGAGGGGUGGGGGUGGUGAGAGAAAAAGAAAAUGAUCUUUCUUUCCAAUGAAUAAUGUUUGAAAAUGACCAAAUAAAAUAAUGUUUAAAAGGAAAAAAAUAUGAAUAGUUCCUGAAUUUGUUACUUUUUAAGCAUGUAAAAAAGACAGAAAAU